GACAAUACUAAUUCUGAUACAAGCCAGGAUGCCACUGGCCUUCUUGGUCACCUGGGCACACUGCUGGUUCAUAAUCAGCCAGCUGUCAACUAACACCCCCAGACCCUCCUCCUCCGCACAGCUUUCUAGCCACUCUGCCCCAAGCCUGUAGCGAUGCCUGGGGUUGUUGGGACCAAAAUGCAAGACCCAUCACUGGGACUUGUUGAACUUCAUCCAAUUGGUCUCAGUCCACAGAUCCAACCUGUCCAGUUUCCUCUGAAGGGUCUUCCUAACCCCAGACAGAUCACUGCUUCCCCCCAACUUGGCAAACUCACUGAAAUCACACUCAGUCUCCUUGUCCAGAUCACCAAUAAACAUAUAAUUGGACCAGCCCCAAUAUCAACCCUAGGGGAACAUCAUCUGUGACUGAUCACCAUCUGCAUUUAAGACCAUUCACCACCACUCUCUGGGCUCAGCCUUCCAGCCAGUUCUUUACUCUGCAGAAAGAGAGAUCUGCCCUGCCCUACCUCACUGAUCUGGGAGCUGCUAUUUAUGGCUGUCAGUGGCUUUCCUUGAAAUGGCCUCACUCUCCUCCACAGGGUUGACUGGAGCUCACCAGCCCCCUCAGGACCCACAGAUAUCCAACACUGCAUGAAUGCCCCUCGAGAUGAUCUGGCACCUACGUUCAGCACAUGGUUGGAAAGACUCUGUGAAGUGUAAAAAUUUAUUUUUCAGCUUUUAAUGUAAACUACAGAAUUUAACGGUAAGAGCCCAGCUACACCGCCAUGGUCCUUCCUGGAAAAGACUGAGGGAAAUGUGCUCAGAGACUGACUCAUCAUAAACUAAAUAGCAGAUCUGAGAGACAAUGAUGGGGUCAAACCUUUGGCUGAAGCAACACGAAUGGACACAGAUGCUGAGGAUCAGCUUCCUGUUAUGGAGCUCAGAAUCUCACAGCACACAGCCUAGCAUGAAGUUAUGUUCACAUGAGAACCUAUUUUUAUGCUGUAAAGAAAAACUGUUUCAAGAAACUUAGGUUCUUGGAAAUGUAGUACAUAAGCACUGUACAUGUUUAGGAGAUUGAGCACAUUGCUUUCCAGCCCAGUGCAAGAGCACAGCACCCUAAGUAUGGGAAACCCUAAGGAAAUGACCAAGUCAAGUACAUUUUUUGGCCUAGGAUUAGAAAAAUACAGUAGUUUAACUGAGAAAGAAGUUUACAGUACUCUGCUCCUGGGGGCUGAUAUUAUGUAGAACAUCUGGAUUCAUGUUCACACAAUAUUCAAAGGAGACAGAAGAAAGAGCUGCAGGGAGAAAAUACAGGAGGGCAUGACAAAGCCAAUGAGGAUGGCAAGCUAUAUUUAGCAGACAUGAAAGAAACCUCUUGUCUUUCUUGUGGACUCUAGAUACUCACAAAACAUGUGCUAAGGACAGGCAUCCUUGUCGCUGGGGAGGGAGGAGCACAUGAUAAAAGCCAGAGGUUUCCAGUGUUAGAAAAUCAAAGGACUAUUUCUCUUCACUCCAAUUGCUCCUGGCCCUGUUGUUAUGGCAUUAUUUUAUAGUUACAAUAGCACAGCCUUCUGUUGAGGAGAAUGCAGCAGAAAUCAUAAAAUAAGGCUACCUGGCAACACGGACUGAAAUUGAACAAAACAGGUUAGGAGGGAGCAAGGUCUACUUUGACUAAGCACCCACUGCUCAAGACAGAGACAAGCACAAUAGGGCUCUGGUCCUCUGCAAGUGCUCUGCCCUGACCUGAUUCACCAGUACCCCGAUUUGCCAUUUCCUCUGCUUGCAUUUUAUUUUGCAAGAUCAAUCCUUGUCUCAUAUUGCUUGUCUUGAACCGGAAGAGGCUCAGGAAAGGAUCAAACCACUCAGAUUCAUACUGGUGCAGGCAACAUAUUCCCACCCACAAACGGGUCCCACCUUCGUGUGCAUAGAGCAGGCUGCUGUAUGCAAGAGAAACACCAUGGCUUAUUUUCAUAAGCUGUAAAAAGCAGUUUUCACUUCCCUAAUAAGAUAUAUUCUUCCUCACAGCUAGUGUUGCAUAAAGGAAACUAAACAAAAUAUAGCCAAGAGUCUGUGCGCAUCUUUAUCUACUAAGUGUGAUUAUUCUAUAAUCAUAUGAGUAUACUAUCAAUCAGUGCUAUUAAAAGCCCAUCUAAGAAAUUCAUUUAGAAUUAAAACUCAAAAUGGAUGUUAAGCACACCUAACAAAAAAAAGAACAAAUCUCUGAAUGCCUGUCUCUCUGGAAUUGGUAAUGAAAGUGCAGUAACAAAACCCACAUAAGUUACACACUCCUCCAAUGCAAUGCACAAAUAUCCACAAUGAAAAAUACUCUAAAAAUAAAACGAAAGAAAAGGCACUGGGGCGUAGGAAGUGCUUCCUCUCCAACGACGCUUCUGUUAGCAUUUACACAAGAAUAUUUUCCGGGGAGCCUGACGUGGAAACAGGUUGCUUUUACGCUAAGCAUACUGAGAAAAAAUAAAUUCAGCAUUUUUACA